rnacentral:rRNA from 1 species
CAGUCGAACGGACCCUUCGGGGUUAGUGGCGGACGGGUGAGUAACACGUGGGAACGUGCCUUUAGGUUCGGAAUAGCUCCUGGAAACGGGUGGUAAUGCCGAAUGUGCCCUUCGGGGGAAAGAUUUAUCGCCUUUAGAGCGGCCCGCGUCUGAUUAGCUAGUUGGUGAGGUAACGGCUCACCAAGGCGACGAUCAGUAGCUGGUCUGAGAGGAUGACCAGCCACACUGGGACUGAGACACGGCCCAGACUCCUACGGGAGGCAGCAGUGGGGAAUCUUGCGCAAUGGGCGAAAGCCUGACGCAGCCAUGCCGCGUGAAUGAUGAAGGUCUUAGGAUUGUAAAAUUCUUUCACCGGGGACGAUAAUGACGGUACCCGGAGAAGAAGCCCCGGCUAACUUCGUGCC